rnacentral:lncRNA from 1 species
GAGAGGCGCCUCCGCCGCUCCUUUCUCAUGGAAAUGGCCCGGGAGCCCGGCCGUCGCGGCGCCCCUCCCGCGGGAAAAAGGCGAGCCCCGGCCCCCGGUGGCCCCUCGCUCCGCGGACAAAUCCGGCGAACAAUGCGCCCGCCCAGAGGGCGGCCCAGCUGCUGGGCCGGGGAUCUGGCCGCGGGACACAAAGGGGCCCGCAUGCCUAGGACGUCACGAGAAGGGUGGGGGCGACCGCGGGGGAGAAUGUGGCCACCCGGCCCCUGACCACGUGUGUCCGCAGCUCUGAGUGCUCGAGAUCCCGAAGAGGGAGACGAGGGCCAGAAGACAAAGGGAGGGGCUGGGGAAGCGGCGGGCUGAGGGGCGCGGGAGGGAAGUGUGCAGCUUCCCGGGUUGUGUUGGCGCGUCCCGCUACCCACGGGCAGUCCUGGGCGCUGUCCUCGGUGCUGGCCGUGGAGUCACCCAGAGAGACGGGGCGCUAAUGCGCUUGGGGCGAAGGGAUGUCAUGAGUAUCACUGUUCCCAUCUAGGGGGCCCUGGAUAGUUGCCGCAGCAACCCCAGAGAAAUGGGGUAGGGUCUGGGGUCACUGCAGUCUGUCCCCUGGGCGCUCUAGUUGGGGUCGCAGGGUGAAGGCGGUGAUCACUUUGAUUCUGAAGAAACCCCUGAACCUUAGGUUGAGGUUCGAGCUGUGGAAGUGGGGGAUCUGCAUCUGCAUCCAAGGUCUAAAUCUGGGUGGAUACACUGGACCGCAUCCCGCCCCCAAACCUCUCUCCAGCUAUGCGGGACGCGAGGCACGUGAGGCUCUGCAGCCCAGAGAGAAAAUGACAAAUCCUCCUCCUCCCUCCCCCACCACCAUCUGCAGCCGCAGUGACACCCACUCAGGUCUGCUGCAGGCAUUUUUUUUUCCCUGUCCUCGGCAGCCAGCGCCACCUGCUGGCGUCCUGGUAUGAGACUCUGCUCUGGCAUGUCUCCUCCCAGCAAGGUUUCCGAUCCCCAAGGUUACAGGCCCUAUUACCUAGGGCAAUGGUUCUCAACCUUCAGAAUGCUGCUACCCUUUAAUACAAUUCUUCAUGUUGUGGUGACUCCUCCCCCCAACCAUAAAAUUAUUUUCGUUGCUA